GAAUUUAAUGGGGUCAAAAAAGGUAAAUUUUACGUCUUGCAUGUAAUUUUUGCAAAAGUGACCCUCCAAUGUAGGUUUGCCACUGCAUACACAAGCUCACGGGAAAUCUCCCAAUCUCGCAUCAAAAGGUGCACCUGUCUUGAACAAUGUUGCAGCCCGGAUGGUUGGUGCGUCAUGAUUGGAUAGUUCCGAUGGAAUCGGUGCAUAGCUAUUUAAUCGUUUUGAACUCAUGGGCUAACAGAUUAAAGUUGUAACCCCUCGUAAAUGAUUUUUUCAGAUUCCUUGGACACUGUAAACCUGAUUCGAAGAGAUUUGUUGGGCAUCCAUCCCCUCAAAGCCUUACUUGUUGACAUUUGUGAGCUGCUCUAUGGAGAACGGGAGGUUGAAGUCUUUCACAAGACAAGAGAACAUAAAGUGCAAUGAUGUAAUGGCUAAGAACAGUUUUCAUGAUACGCCUGGACGUCUCCUGGUGCCUAUGGUGACACUUCAAUACUUAGAAAGCUUUUUGGCACACGAGAGCAGACUUGAGCAUAUAUAGAACACACACAAUUAUACGUGCGCAUGUGGUCUCCGACAAAAGGGCAUUCAACUCCAAGGCAAUGAAUCAUAUACGCUCCAACAAUUAUUUCGACUGAGUGGCACAUUUAGAGAAGAUAACGUGUGGUGAUUGGCUUCCUAAACUUGGUCUUCGGCAAGUGGAGAGUUUCUGUGUUUCAUUGGCUCAUUAAUUAGCCAAUAAAGUGGGGGAAAAAAAACCCUCGGUCAAGUCUUAUAUAUAGUGAUUGAUGAUUGACAUGGAGGUAAUUAAGAGGCUCAAGCAACGGCCAUUUCAAUCAAUCGAAAUAAAUUUUGCCUGUCGGAAUAUAACAGAAAGACAUUUACCAGAAGAAGAUAAACAUGCGCACCCACACAUAUACACAGAGUUUUUUUUUUUUUUUUUUUGGGGG